AUUGAACGCUGGCGGCAGGCCUAACACAUGCAAGUCGAGCGGAUGAAGGGAGCUUGCUCCUGGAUUCAGCAGCGGACGGGUGAGUAAUGCCUAGGAAUCUGCCUGGUAGUGGGGGAUAACGUCCGGAAACGGGCGCUAAUACCGCAUACGUCCUGAGUGAGCAAGAGGGGGAUCUUCGGACCUCACGCUAUCAGAUGAGCCUAGGUCUGAUUAGCUAGGUGGUGGGGGAAAGGCCUACCAAGGCGAAGAUCCGUACCUGGUCUGAGAGGAUUCUCAGUCACACUGGAACUGAGACACGGCCCAGACGCCUAUGGGAGGCAGCAGAGGGGAAUAUUGGAGGAUGGGGUAGAGACUGAUCCGGCCAUGCCGCGUGUGUGAAGAAGGACUUCGGAGUGUAAAACGCUUUAAGUUGGGAUGAAGGGCAGUAAGCUAAGACAUUGCUGUUUUGACGUUACCAACAGAAUAAGCACCGGCUAACUUCGUG
rnacentral:rRNA from 1 species